rnacentral:rRNA from 1 species
UACGUAGGGUGCAAGCGUUAAUCGGAAUUACUGGGCGUAAAGCGUGCGCAGGCGGUUAUGUAAGGCAGUUGUGAAAUCCCCGGGCUCAACCUGGGAACUGCAUCUGUGACUGCAUAGCUAGAGUCCGGAAGAGGAGAGUGGAAUUCCCGGUGUAGCGGUGAAAUUCGUAGAUAUCGAGAGGAACACCGGUGGCGAAGGCGGCGAUCUGGACGAUGACUGACGCUGAGACGCGAAAGCGUGGGGAGCAAACAGG